GAGUAACGCGUAAGCAAUCUACCUUCAAGAUGGGGACAACACUUCGAAAGGGGUGCUAAUACCGAAUGAAUGAGAGAUGACCGCAUGGAUAUUUCUCUAAAGGAGGCCUAGUCAACGCUUCCGCUUGAAGAUGAGCUUGCGUCUGAUUAGCUAGUUGGUGAGGGUAAAGGCCCACCAAGGCGACGAUCAGUAGCCGGUCUGAGAGGAUGAACGGCCACAUUGGGA
rnacentral:rRNA from 1 species